ACUACUUUAGCUACUUUCAACAAUCCCGUGAAAAUGUCUAUGAUAAAUGCGCGGUUUAAAUUCUAUGACGUACGUCUCAUCCUGUCUUGUCCGACUCUACUCGUCAAUCAGUGAAAAAAAAACGUUUUUUGUUUUUGCCUGCUCCAGUUAUUCACGAAAAAAUGCAUAUUAUUCCAUGUGAACAGUAUCUGCAUUAAAAUGGGAUUGAAACAUAUGGUUACGAUAUGGUUUUUGCUAUUCAUAGCAAGUUAAACAUAACUUUCGAGGUACGCCGGAGGUUUCUUUCCCCUCGCUGAACGACGAUUUGUUCCGGUAUUUCCAUCCUUGUCAUUGGACUCAGUAAUGGUGCGUCCAGCCGAUUUUGGCUGAACGGCGCUAUUUCCAGUAUUCGCAGUAGUUCGCUGAUCAAUGUUUCUCCAGGUAAACUUUUUUAUUCGAAUGGAAACUACAUAUCGACCAGAGCCAUUUGAGUGGGCGCGGUCAAAUCAACUGGGCAUGGUAUUUUCUAGUUGUCAGUUUCUGACCCGAUGUUUAUGUGAACUAGAAAAAUCGUUUUGACCCGUUUGCCAACAAAACCCUUUGGACCAUUUCUACAUCAAAUAUGCGCGGUCAUCCCGAUCCGCUUCUGACAAAAACCGCUGCGGCCAUUUCUAUCCCGCAAAUAAGCGCGGUCAUCCCGAUCCGCUUCCGACAAAAACCAGCGGCCUUAUCUGGUCCGCAAAUAAGCGCGGUCAUCCCGAUCCGCUUCCGACAAAAACCCAGCGGCCUUAUUUGGCCCGCAAAUAUGCGCGGUCAUCCCGAUCCGCUUCCGACAAAAACCAGCGGCCUUAUCUGGCACACAAAAAGAAAAGCGCGGUCAUCCCGAUCCGCUUCCGACAAGAACCACACGGCCAUUUUGAUUCAUAAACAAAAAGGAUUAUCUCCAUCCGCUUCCUACCAAAACUGUUAGAAGCAUUUUGGAUCCGUACUUAUUUUCCCUUAUUUAUGAUAAAAUGAUAUCCGUUACUCUCGCCAUCCGGAAGAUGCUGCCAGUCGAAUUAAUCCUCGAGCACGACGACACGCCACAUCGUCCCUUACUACAAAUGCCCGGAUAAGCAGCCGAAAUUCUCUGAUCCCGAAUCCUAAGUCCUGUCCAUCCCUAAACAUUGUAAACUAACCUCGAGUCACCACGAGUACGUGGCAACGAAAUAUCACAAUACCCCUCCUUCCAUAAUAAACAUAUGUUUC